GCCUGGGUGGCUCAGUGGGUUAAGCGGCUGACUUCAGCUCAGGUCAUGAUCUUAUGGUUCGUGGGUUCCAGCCCCGCGUCAGGCU
rnacentral:tRNA from 1 species